GAUGCCUGGGAAAGGACAUAAAGCUGGCUUUAUGACAUUCCUUCAGCAAUUGAACAGAAUCCCUGAGGUCUCAACAGGUAUUGGGGGAAGAAAAUUUCCUCUAGACCAAGAUCAUUGUUUCCAAAAAUGUGGGUGCAACUUGCCUCCAUAAGCAACUGUAUCUUAGGAACAGAAAUUUUAAUUGACUGAAACCCACUGUGUGAAACUUAGAAUGGAAAUUGGGUUCUCCACCUCCGCAGCACCUUUAUUUUGGGCUAUGAAGCUUUGGAAGGACAGCAGGGAAUACAAACUGGCUAUGGGUUGUCUCCUGUAUUAUUCAUUUAUGUACCCAAAAAAAAGGCAGAAGAAGAAAAAAAGAAAAAUAAAAACCUUCCUGGUUCCAAGGGAGUCACACAAAAGACACAUACCAACAAAAGGCCACAUGAGGACACAGUGAGAAAUUAGAAGUCUGCAAUCCAGAAGACAGCCCUCAACAGAACCUAACCAUACUUAUACCCUGAUCUCAGACAUCCAGCCUCCAGAAGAGUAAAAAGAUGCAAUUCUUAUUUGUAAGCAACCUGGUCUAUGGCAUUUCAUUAUAGCAGCCCAAGCUAAGACAGCUCCCUAUCCCAUUCACCAUGCUGCAGCUAUAUGAGCCUCCCUUUUUUUCUUCAAGCUCAUCAAAUCCCUCCUAGCCUUAGAACUUGCUGUUCCCUCUGCCCAGAAUUCUCUUCCAGUUCUUUUCAUCCUGUAAGUCUUGUCCUUUAGAUCUAACUUCACAUGUGACGUCCCCUGAGAACUGUCCUCUGAGAACUUACCUGAAAGAGUCUUCCCAGUUAUUUUCUACCUUACCUUCUAGUUUAUAAUCUUCACACCACUUUUCCACAUUUGUAACCAUUUGCUUUUCUAUAUGUCUGAUAUGGUUAGGCUUAGUGUCCCUACCCAAAUGUCACAUUAAAUUGUAAUCCUCAGGGAGAUUACAAUUUAACGAGAGACCUGGUAGGAAGUGACUGGAUUGUGGGGGUGGUUUCCCCUAUGCUGUUCUCGUGAUAGUGAGUGAAUUCUCAUUAGAUCUAAUGGUAGAUUUUACAAAUGGGAGUUUUUCCUGUGCUGACUCAUUCUCUCUCCUGCCACCCUCUGAAGAGUUGCCUUCUGCCAUGAUUAUAAGUUUCCUGAGGCUUCCCCAGCCAUGGGGAACUGUGAGUCAAUUAAAUAUCUUUUCUUUAUAAAUUA